rnacentral:rRNA from 1 species
GAUGAACGCUGGCGGCGUGCCUAAUACAUGCAAGUCGAGCGAACAGACGAGGAGCUUGCUCCUCUGACGUUAGCGGCGGACGGGUGAGUAACACGUGGAUAACCUACCUAUAAGACUGGGAUAACUUCGGGAAACCGGAGCUAAUACCGGAUAAUAUAUUGAACCGCAUGGUUCAAUAGUGAAAGACGGUUUUGCUGUCACUUAUAGAUGGAUCCGCGCCGCAUUAGCUAGUUGGUAAGGUAACGGCUUACCAAGGCAACGAUGCGUAGCCGACCUGAGAGGGUGAUCGGCCACACUGGAACUGAGACACGGCCCAGACUCCUACGGGAGGCAGCAGUAGGGAAUCUGCCGCAAUGGGCGAAAGCCUGACGGAGCAACGCCGCGUGAGUGAUGAAGGUCUUCGGAUCGUAAAACUCUGUUAUUAGGGAAGAACAAAUGUGUAAGUAACGAUGCACGUCUUGACGGAACCAAAGCAGAAAGCCACGGCAAACUACGU